ensembl:lncRNA LINC01969 long intergenic non-protein coding RNA 1969
AGGUACCUGCGGGAGGAGGGCUGUGGUCAAAGGUGGAGGAGCAGCUGAGAGGCUGCUAUACUUGCCCAGAUUAGAAAACUGAGGCCCAGAGAAGGAAAGUAGCUGCCAGAGGUCACACAGCUAGGAUUGAGGGAUCAGAGAGUUCCUCCUCCCCCACAAGCUGGCACAUGUGGAUAUUGGCUCUGUUUUGCCUUUGACCCCUAGUGAAAGAAAAUACUGAGACGGAGUCUCGCUCUGUCGCCCAGGUUGGAGUGAAGCGGCUAGAUCUCAGCUCACUGCAACCUCUGCCUCCCAGGUUUAAGCAAUUCUCCUGUCUCAGCCUCCAGAGUAGCUGGGACUACAGGCGCAUGCCACCAUGCCCUACUAAUUUUUUGUAUUUUUAGGAGAGACAGGCCUUCACCAUGUUGGUCAAGCUGGUCUCGAACUCCUGACCUCAGGUGACCCACCGGCUUCAGCCUCCCAAAGUGCUGGGAUUACAGGCAUGAGCCACCGCGCCCAGCCUCAUAUCUAUCUUUAUCACUCCAUUUCAGAUCUUCUUCCAUAUAUGGCUCUGUGUGUCUCCUGUCCUUCCCUGUCUCCUCACUGCUUUUCAGCUGGUAGACCCCUGUGGGGACAACAGAUCAGAGCUUGGUCACCAAUAUGGACAUCUAGGUCUGAGCAGGGCCCACUCCCCGGGGGCGCAUCAGCUCCAUCCCGGCACCCUUUACACUGGCCUUCUCUUCACAAAGGACCACAGGUCAUCCUCAAGCCUUCCUCCCAGGCUAUCCUUGUCCCUGAAUACUAAUGUCUAAAGGUCAGCCCAGCUACCAGCAGUGUGCAUGUGAUGUGUCCCAUCUCCCCUUCGGAUUGGAGGAAGAAGCUGUGUCCCUCCCAUCAGACAGACGGUCUCCUUAAAGAUUCUCCUGGUCUCCAGCUUGGGCUCUGCUGGAAAGAAGAGGAAGUAUUUAGCAAGGGUGAAGAUGGGUUCUUACUUCCCUGAGGCAACCAGAGAUAAGAAAAGACCAGAAUAUGAAUAUCCAGCAUUCCACAAAGAAUCCUACAGGCAGGGAUAUUGCCCAAUCACCAGUGCCUCGCAUCCCAGUUCUAUCCAAGAUCCAAGCUUGAUAUCCUCCUGAAAGACUUCCUGAAUCAGGUCACCAACAUGGACAUCUGAACUUCCAGAAUCAGGUCACCGUCUUUCUUCUCAUCUCUGGAUGUAUUUGGAGCUCAUUUGUCUGACGGUUUUUGAAUGCUAUCUUUUAAAAAUAAACUUUUACAAUUUGGGUUUAAUAA